rnacentral:rRNA from 1 species
CGCGUAGGCGGUUUAACAAGUCAGGUGUGAAAGCCCCGAGCUUAACUCGGGAACUGCGCUUGAUACUGUUAUUCUUGAAUUCGGGAGAGGUGAGUGGAAUUCCCAGUGUAGAGGUGAAAUUCGUAGAUAUUGGGAGGAACACCAGUGGCGAAGGCGGCUCACUGGACCGACAUUGACGCUGAGGCGCGAAAGCGUGGGGAUCAAACA